rnacentral:rRNA from 1 species
GAUGAACGCUGGCGGCGUGCUUAACACAUGCAAGUCGAACGGGAAACAAUAUAUUAAAGCUUCGGCACAUUUAGCUGGAUACUACUGGCGGACGGGUGAGUAACGCAUGGGUAACCUGCCUUAUACAGGGGGAUAACAACCAGAAAUGGUUGCUAAUACCGCAUAAGCGCACAGGACCGCAUGGUCCGGUGUGAAAAACUCCGGUGGUAUAAGAUGGACCCGCGUUGGAUUAGCUAGUUGGCAGGGUAACGGCCUACCAAGGCGACGAUCCAUAGCCGGCCUGAGAGGGUGAACGGCCACAUUGGGACUGAGACACGGCCCAGACUCCUACGGGAGGCAGCAGUGGGGAAUAUUGCACAAUGGGGGAAACCCUGAUGCAGCGACGCCGCGUGAAGGAAGAAGUAUCUCGGUAUGUAAACUUCUAUCAGCAGGGAAGAUAGUGACGGUACCUGACUAAGAAGCCCCGGCUAACUACGUG